rnacentral:tRNA from 1 species
CAAGACGUAGCUUUAACGAAAGCAUUCAGCUUACACCUGAAAGAUAUCUGUCGACAUCAGAUCGUCUUGA